rnacentral:rRNA from 1 species
GACGAACGCUGGCGGCGUGCUUAACACAUGCAAGUCGAACGGUAAGGCCCUUCGGGGUACACGAGUGGCGAACGGGUGAGUAACACGUGGGUGAUCUGCCCUGCACUUCGGGAUAAGCCUGGGAAACUGGGUCUAAUACCGGAUAGGACCCUGGGAUGCAUGUCCUGGGGUGGAAAGCUUUUGCGGUGUGGGAUGGGCCCGCGGCCUAUCAGCUUGUUGGUGGGGUGAUGGCCUACCAAGGCGACGACGGGUAGCCGGCCUGAGAGGGUGACCGGCCACACUGGGACUGAGAUACGGCCCAGACUCCUACGGGAGGCAGCAGUGGGGAAUAUUGCACAAUGGGCGCAAGCCUGAUGCAGCGACGCCGCGUGAGGGAUGACGGCCUUCGGGUUGUAAACCUCUUUCAGCACCGACGAAGCGCAAGUGACGGUAGGUGCAGAAGAAGGACCGGCCAACUACGUGCCAGCAGCAGCCGCCG